AAUGAACGCUGGCGGCAGGCCUAACACAUGCAAGUCGAACGGGUCCUUCGGGACUAGUGGCGGACGGGUGAGUAACGCGUGGGAACGUGCCCCUUGGUACGGAGUAGCCCCGGGAAACUGGGAGUAAUACCGUAUGUGGUCGAGAGACGAAAGAUUUAUCGCCAAGGGAUCGGCCCGCGUUGGAUUAGGUAGUUGGUGGGGUAAUGGCCUACCAAGCCGACGAUCCAUAGCUGGUUUGAGAGGAUGAUCAGCCACACUGGGACUGAGACGCGGCCCAGACUCCUACGGGAGGCAGCAGUGGGGAAUCUUAGACAAUGGGGGAAACCCUGAUCUAGCCAUGCCGCGUGAUCGAUGAAGGCCUUAGGGUUGUAAAGAUCUUUCAGGUGGGAAGAUAAUGACUGUACCACCAGAAGAAGCCCCGGCUAACUCCGUGCCAGCAGCCGCAGUAACAC
rnacentral:rRNA from 1 species